GUGUUGUUGUGUUGCAGCCUCAGCAAAUCGCACUGCAUCCCGCUUCACUGUACAACACCAUGAUGAUCGCCCAGCAGGGUGCGAGCCAUCUGGUCCAGUUGACCACCAGCCUGUCCCAGAACACCAGUUCCAGCGCUUCCACCUCCUUCCCCGAUGAGCGAUCGGGCCAGAUGAGCCCUCCUGUUUUUACCCAAAGCAACCCGUAGUGACAGUGCUGCGGGGCCUGGGGGUCCCGACGCACCGGUCGGUGACUGUCCGUCUCUCCCAAUGAGUCGAGCUCGCCUAAGUGAGGCGCAAAAGGCUGACCUGGCAUUGAAAAGGUGUUUCUCAAAGGGGGUGAGUAAAAGCAACGCAACUGACGGGCGGAUAGCCUAUUACGUGGAGGAGGAUCUCCUGAUGCUCAAAUGGUCCCCCUCUGUAGGCGCUGAUGCUAGAAAAUGUAUUUUGAUAGGCGGUGGCCGCCAUUUUAAGGGGGGGAAUGUUAAGGCCGUGAGCCGACCGCAUUGUCUCCCCUCCCUCUGCAUGCGCUACCCCUCCUGUUUUUCCCCAAAGCAGCUCAAGUGGGCGGGUCCUUCCGUCCCCGGAACCAACCAGAGAGCGACGGCGCCGUGGAGGCGUAUAAAAGCCUAAUGUGCCUUGCAAGCGGGGCAGACACCUGUAGGGAAUCUAGGCGCGUAGUCGCAUUCGUUUGAGAGCAAGAGUUUACGUUUGUGUGUUCCCAGAUUUGGGCCAGGGUAAGAAGGAUCCCUCUGUACUGAUGUUGUUCAUUUGCACUCAUUUAGGUUUGUCACUGUUUAGCCACACUAGGUUUAGGGGGUGCUGAUCAUUUGUAUUUCGGUUUUUGUUAUGCUAGAGUAGCCAGUUAGGUUUUGUUUUUAGGACCAUUCGUAUUUAGUUAUUAGACAGGUAGCUCCACUUUAUUUUAAGGAGUUCUCUUUUGGUUAUAUUUGGUUCUUUGUUUUGACAGCACCUAGCGAACCAUUUCUGAUGAUUGUUACCUGCUAUUCCUUUGUUGGGUUAUAAUAAAACACGA
ensembl:lncRNA